rnacentral:rRNA from 1 species
CCUACGGGCGGCUGCAGUGGGGAAUAUUGCACAAUGGGCGCAAGCCUGAUGCAGCCAUGCCGCGUGUAUGAAGAAGGCCUUCGGGUUGUAAAGUACUUUCAGUCGUGAGGAAGGUGUUAAGGUUAAUAACCUUAGCAAUUGACGUUAGCGACAGAAGAAGCACCGGCUAACUCCGUGCCAGCAGCCGCGGUAAUACGGAGGGUGCGAGCGUUAAUCGGAAUUACUGGGCGUAAAGGGCACGCAGGCGGUUAAUUAAGUGGAUGUUGAAAUCCCCGGCCUUAACCUGGGAAUGGCAUUCAAGACUGGUUAGCUGAGGUCUUGUGGAGGGGGGUAGAAUUCCAGGUGUGGCGGUGAAAUGCGUAGGGAGGUGGAGGAAUACCGGGGGGGAAGCCGGCCCCCUGGAAAAAGACUGACGCUCAUGGGCGAAAGCGUGGGGAGCAAACAGGAUAGAUACCCCUGUAGUC